rnacentral:ncRNA from 2 species
GCCAUCCACAGUGGUGAUUUGGCCGGUCCGAUUGCAGCCACUUUAAACAAGUCGCUAAAGGAUGCCGGAGGCUCGCCCUC